GGGAACUUAGCCUAUAUAUAUUGUUGUCCACUCAGUAUUUCCUCAAAGACUCAUCUCAGCUCACUGACGUUGUGGCACAGAUAUAAAAUAUGCCUGAAGAAGUUCCUGCUCAGUGCCAGGUUACGAAAGAAGAGCUGGACAAAUGUGUUCAGGGGAAAGGUGCGGAGGGCUGUAAGGAGCUGCUGGAAGCCUUUGAGGCCUGUGUGAAGGGCACCACAGCAGCCUCGUGAGGGGGACAUGGCUUUAAAUAUCCUUCCUUUCUGGGUCCUCCAAUGUCCUUGCAUUCCCUCACAUUGCACUGGACUGAACCAUUUUAAGGACACUGAAGGGGUGCUAGUGCUUGAAAGCAAUGGAAUUGUAAAUUCUGAUCCCGAGAAGUCUUGUUGUGUCCCUCAUGUUGUCCGUGUCAUUUGUAACUGUGGCAGAAAGAAGAACCCAGAGUUUUUAGUUUUUUCAAAUGUAAUGCUGUAAAAAAUCACAAUGCAUUUUAUUUGAUU